rnacentral:pre_miRNA from 1 species
AGCCUUCUGUAUCCGUGCUGAGAUUUCGUCAUACACCAGACCACAAGUGCUGAUGAGACUCCCAAGAUCUUGAGGAU